UACGGGGGGAGCAAGCGUUGUUCGGAUUUACUGGGCGUAAAGGGCGCGUAGGCGGCCAGCACAAGUCAGUUGUGAAAUCUCCGAGCUUAACUCGGAAAGGUCAACUGAUACUGUGCGGCUAGAGUGCGGAAGGGGCAACUGGAAUUCUUGGUGUAGCGGUGAAAUGCGUAGAUAUCAAGAGGAACACCUGCGGCGAAGGCGGGUUGCUGGACCGACACUGACGCUGAGGCGCGAAAGCCAGGGGAGCGAACGGG
rnacentral:rRNA from 1 species